rnacentral:misc_RNA from 1 species
UGGACGAGGAGGACGAGGAUUUGUGCUCGUAUUUGACAACAGUGAUACCUUAUCACAUGGACAGUGGCCCACCUGAUAAUCAAGCUUUACAAGUCCUCAUUAAGAUAUAAAAGGAUAUUAAUGAGGAUAGUCCAACGGUGCCCACAUUAUUAACGGACUACAUAUUGAAAGUUCUGUGCCCCACCUAGUGAUCCACUAGUACAUAUCCUCCGACGUGACAUCGCUGUGCUACGUAUAAAGAAGAAAAGAUUUAUUAAGAUGUAGAUUGCUCCUCUCUUGCCAUUGUGCUUUCAGCCAUUGUUGUGGUGUGUGUUUAAAAUUAAGGACAGUAUAUAAUAUAGAAUAACAGGUACAGCUACGAAUAUAGCACUACAAUAAAUCUUAUAGAAA